UACGUAGGGAGCAAGCGUUGUCCGGAAUCAUUGGGCGUAAAGCGCGCGUAGGCGGCCAACUAAGUCGGAUGUGAAAUCCCCAGGCUUAACCUGGGAACUGCAUCCGAUACUGGAUGGCUUGAAUCCGGGAGAGGGAUGCAGAAUUCCAGGUGUAGCGGUGAAAUGCGUAGAUAUCUGGAGGAAUACCGGUGGCGAAGGCGGCAUCCUGGACCGGCAUUGACGCUGAUGAGCGAAAGCUAGGGGAGCAAACGGG
rnacentral:rRNA from 1 species